UGGGGAAUAUUAGGCAAUGGGGGAAACCCUGACCUAGCAACGCCGCGUGAAGGAUGAAGGCUUUCGGGUUGUAAACUUCUUUUAUUAGGGACGAAAAAAAUGACGGUACCUGAUGAAUAAGCCACGGCUAACUACGUGCCAGCAGCCGCGGUAAUACGUAGGUGGCGAGCGUUGUCCGGAAUUACUGGGUGUAAAGGGCGCGUAGGCGGGACUAUAAGUCUGAUGUGAAAUAUCCGGGCUCAACCCGGAGGGUGCAUUGGAAACUAUAGUUCUUGAGUGAUGGAGAGGCAGGCGGAAUUCCCGGUGUAGCGGUGGAAUGCGUAGAUAUCGGGAGGAACACCAGUGGCGAAGGCGGCCUGCUGGACAUUAACUGACGCUGAGGCGCGAAAGCGUGGGGAGCAAACA
rnacentral:rRNA from 1 species